UUGCUCGUCCCUGAGCAAGGAUAGACUCAGCUAUGGAUCAUAAGUUGUUGCAAUAUCUUUAAAAAUUGAUGGUACACAUGCUUUUUAAAUAAGAUCUCAUCUCUGAGUUAGAGUAAACUGUCAAGACUUAAAACUUACUUACUUUACCUUUUACCAUGGGACUUGUAACCGUCACUUCUGUCUUGACUAGUUAAAAGAUAGAACAGUCUAGUCAAGUGCCAUGUCUCUUAUUCUUGAUCAGCUAUAGCUCUAGAGUUUUUUGCAGAUUUUCAAAUAAAACUCAGAGAUUCCUUGUAUGAUUCUCUCAAAUCUCUCUUUUGUGGUAAUUCUGGAUCCUUACCAAGGCAGUGAUGGUAUAUGCCUUCUCUCAAAAUAUGUGGUAUUUGUGGUAUAAAGCAUAGUGACAUUGACUUCUCUCUCACCCUACUCUAAUAAGGCUUUAAUAUCUGGAGCUCAUAGGUGGGAGAUAAAGUAUACAUACUCACAAGACAUUUAUUGUAUAGUCAAACCAUGGAUCCAAAGAAACAAAUCAAUAAGUCAAAUCAAGAUUUGCAUGUGUGGCGAAUGAAUGGUAUAUGGUGAUGACGGUGAUAACAAUGGUGAAAGUCUAAUUCUACUUUUGCUCUUCUGAGGGGAUACAUACCUUCCUUGCUUUCUGAAACUUUUGAACAGAAUGAGAUGCUCUUAUUUUUCUUUUCACUCAGGUGGGUAUUUUGUACCCCUAAUUCUACUGUCGGACACUUGUCCAUUUUUACCUCUCGUCUCACUUUUUCUUUUCUUUCGAGGUUCCGGGCACUUGCCCCUUUUUAUUUCCUUGUAUCUUUUUUUUUCUCUCUCUUUUUUUUCAGAGCACUCAUCUCUUGAGAUAAUAUAGCAAGUGGUAGUAACAAGAUAACUUGAGCAUUUAUUUCACAGGGAAAAACAGAAAUAUUUUUGGCUAUUCUCUCCCGGAUUAGGAGUAGAAUAUGUUUAGGUGGUUCUGGAGAUGAAAAUGGGUGGAUAUAUGUGGAUGGUACUUCUGGAGUAGAAGUAGCAUAUAUGAGUGAACGUGCAAGUGAAAUCUUGAUUUUAACUACAUGACAAGCUCCUAAGGGUCUACACAGCUUGACCACACUCAAUGCUCAUAAGCAGUAAAUAGUAAAUGUGUGGCUCAAAGUCUAGCAAGCAUGUAUAUAUGGCUGUGGUAGAAAUUUAAACUCUCAUCAUACAGGAACUCAUCAUGCAAUAUUUUAAAGAUUUUUAAAGCUAAAAUUCUCUAGAAUUCUAGCAUCUCUAGGAACAGAUAAACAGCAGCUCAACCUUCCCAUAUCAUAUCCGUUAACAACUUAGACUUCAGAUCAAGUUUUCAUCCCACAAGUUUAGGUCUAGAGCAAGCUUUAAAUUAUAACAGUUAUGUCUAAACUUGAGAGAGAACUUAAAAUGUGCAAAUUAGGUAGAGCAACUAUUCAUGAUAUCCAUGCUAGAGUUUUAUUAUUAAGAUACAGAUUAGCAUAGCCACUCUAUUUAUUUAUUAAACACACUAGGCAAAAGAUAUAAGCACAAAAUCUUUAUUUGGUUUUUCCUGGUUUAUGUAUAUUUAUAUUCUAAAAUAGUAUAAGUUUAAAGAUAGAUAGAUAGAAAUACUUAUCGGGAUAAAUAGGGGUGCUCUCCCCCAAGCUGAAUUUUGACGUAAUUUCUCUUGAUGUAGCUAGCAGGUGAGGUGUAUUUGAAAGUCAGCAGCAUUCUGUCAGCGAUUAGAAUGUCCUCCGUCUACUAGUCUUCUUGAUUCUUAAAUUCUGUGGAGCUCAAAUAGACAACAAAGCUUGUGGAAUUGAUUAAGUGUUAGCAUAAAUAUCUAGCCUUUAUCAUGUUGAGACUCCAUAAUAUUUGUUACUCCCUGUUUUUAUAUUUUUAUUUUAUAAAGCAGAAAAGAAAUAUUUAUUUUAUUUUUAUGCCACCACAGUGAAUGUACUUAUGGGUUUGAUGCCACUCGUAUACUCACAUGGGGCUUACAGUUUUUCACAUUUUUAUUUUAUUUUUAAGAUAGUAUGAAUAUGAUUAACUAAGUAAAAUAAUUGAAAGGGAAAGGAUAACUAUCAAGUUUACCUCUUGGCAAGACGUUCGGUGUUUUUAUGUCCUCCGAACAGGACUCUCCAUUUUCUCAAUUGUCCUGGAAUUCGUUGGGUGGCGGAGUCGGUACUUCCGGCAGCGCCUCUUCUUCAUGUAUAGUUAUCUUCUCUUUCCAUACCUGACUCGGUGCUUCAGUCUCCUCUGGAUAAUUCUGUUUAAACUCUACGUCUUCUGACCUUACAACUUCUCCUUCAUAGUCUGCCCAUCCGUCCUUGAUGAUUUGCCUCCUCUGGUUGCGUCAUUUUCUUACCUGCUUAGAUUCUUCAAAGAUGUAGUUAGGGUCAGUAAAAUAACGGCGUACCUUCUCUGAGGGGAAGUGCAUAUGGACUUCUCCAGUUCCAAUGUAGAUAAUUGCUUUAACAGUGCUGAGGAACGGUCUUCCAAGGAUGAUGGGUGGAUCGUAUUCAUCUUCUCCCAUGUCAAUAACCUGAAAGUCUGUGUAGACAAAAUGAUCGUCUAUUUUGACUGGGACAUCCGUUACUGUUCCUUUAACUUCUCGAGAUGUCUGAUCUGCCAUCUGGAGCUGAAUGUAUGUUAGUCUUAGUGGCAUGGUUCCGAACAAGAGCCGAUAGGUGACUACGGCCAUUAUGUUGACGCCCGAUCCGGUGUCGCAAAACGUCUUGUAGAAGCUGUAUCCAUUUAUGGAGCAGUAGAUGCUUGGCAUUACUAGGUCGUCCUUCUUGGUCAAAAACGAUGACUUAAGUUGAUGAUCUUGACCUCCAUGAACUGCAGUGACCAUCUUAGCUGAUUCGGUCCACACUUGCUUGUCUUGUUUCCUCCUGUUGUUCCCUCCCUUGAUUCACGUCUGGAAUGAUCUGGGAUUUGUGUAGCUUGUUCUGGAAGAAAAAUGUCUCCUUCCUCCCUUUGAUGUAGAAACUGAUCUUGGCAGCACUAGCAUAGAUGACAGCUCCCGAGGUGUUUAAGAAUGGCCUCCCUAAGAUGAUGGGUGCUCUCUCAUCACUACCGGUAUCUAUCACCACGAAGUCUGCUAGGGCGUACAAGGUACCAACUUGGACACAAAGGUUCUUCAAUAUUCCUUUUGGAAAACUUAUCGUCUGAUCUGCAAACUGCAAACACAUGGUUGUCUCUAAUAAAGGAUAUGUAAAGAAUUUUUCAUGGAGUACCCUAGGUAUAAUGUUGACACUGGAGCCAAAGUCGCAGAGUGCUUCUGGGAAGUCCACCAUUCCGAUGGAGAUCGGGAUGACGGGGCGUCCUGGAUCGCCUCUCUUGACCGGCAGAAGGUCAGUAGUAAAUUCAGUGACGGGGUUACUCCAAUUACCUGCAUCAAACAUGUCUACAAGAUUUGCAGAUUCUAAUCCUUCCGGUUGUGAUGGUAUACCGGGGUUAGUAGCAGGAACAGCAGCAGCUAUUUGAUUUAACUGAGAUUCAAUCAUUUUAUUAAAGCUAAUUUGAUUCUUGAUGGCAGUAGAGAAAUUAUCCGGUCUAUUAUUUAUAUUUUCUAGCAUUUUAUCAUUUGAUGCCAAUUUCUUAGAUAGAUUAUCCAUUAGCUUUCCUUGAUUAGACACUAACUCUCUCAAAGGUGGAAAAUUAUUAUUAUUGUUGUAAGAACUGUUACCUUGAUAAUUACCUGAGUAGUUAGGCCUCUGUUGAUUCCAACCUUGAUUUUGUUGAGGACGGUUGUAGUAGUUGUUGUUGUUAUUGUUGAUGCAGUUCACAUCCUCAAGUAUCUCAGGGCAGUGAUUGCCUGAGUGUCCAGUAUCUCCACACUCCUCACAAGUCAUGUGAGAGUCGUAGAUGUGCAUAACUUCUUUCUUGUCUCCAUCUCUAUCAUCGAGCUUCUUCAUGAGCAGGUCUAGCUUUGCAGAUAGCAUGUCUACCUCCUUGAGCUGAUGCAUACCUCCACCUCUCUUGCGUGUCUGGGUCCUCUCUUCAUUCCAGCCUUGGUUGGACGCCAUCUUCUCCACAAGAGCUGUGGCUUGUCAUAUGGUAAGUGAUAAGAAUGCUCCUCCAGCUGCAGCAUCCAUGGUUUCUCGGGCACUGUUGCUGAGCCCAUGAUAAAACGUCUCUAUUAGUAGCCAACCCUCCAUUCCAUGUUGGGGACAUUAUAAGAUGUAGUCUUGGAAGCGCUCCCAUGCUUCUGGAACAGAUUCAUCAUGUUGUUGCUGAAAACUUGUAAUCUUCCCACGGAGAGCAUUGGUCUUGCCCAUGGGAAAGAACUUAGCCAGGAAGUUUGUUGAGCAGAGUGCCCACGUAGUAUUCUUCUCCUUUGUAGCGUAAAACCACUGCUUCGCUCUUCCUAGCAGUGAGAAUGGGAAGAGGCGAAGUAGUAUAGCAUCUCUGGGGACUCCUGAUAUGGUGAAUGUGCUGCAAAUCUCCAGGAAGUGUUGGAGAUGAGCACUAGCAUCUUCGUGUGCCUUCCCACAGAACUGGUUGGAUUGCACCAUGUUGAUAAGUCCAGGCUUGAGCUCAAAGUUGCCGUCGAUCUCUGCAGCAGGUCCUGUGCUGAUGUUGUCCGUAGUGGGAGCUGAGAACUCGCGGAUCGAUUUGUUCGCCAUGGCUUCGAACUCUGAAGACAAGUUUCGGUGAUUUUCUUCAUUGGAUGAAGCUUCUUGCUGAAGUGUUGAUGAUCUCUUCUUGAGCUUUGCUUUUGUCUUCUUGAAUAAUGCUUUGGGAUUGUCUUCUAUUCAUACAUUCCCCUGCAUAAGAUAAAAUGGAAAAAUAUCGGGGUAAAACUGUAUGAGAGAAUAGAUAAGCUCAAUCAUAUUAGUGACGCGAAUGAUAACUCAAAAUCCUUUAUUCCAUUCCGGAUUAGUAAUCAACCUUCCCCGGCAACGGCGCCAAAAAUGCUUGUUGGGUAUUCUUAACAUCAUUACCAAAAGUAGACUAAGUUCUCUAAAUCUAGUAACGGUGCCAAAAAUGCCAAACCUAUCCCUCACACCACUUAAGCCAAGUUGUCAUCCCCAGCAUGACAUGAGAGACGCGGUAUUGAAAUAUGCAAUUGCUCUUCUAAAUAAAUAAUGAAUGGGAUCUGCAAGCGCACAGAUUAAUACCGAUGUAGCAUUUUAACCAGGAAGUAUUCCAGGUAUCGUUAUUUAUAUUUUUACCACUGGGAAGGGAUUAGUAACCAUCAAUAUUGAUUACAUAAUAGAAUAUGAGAUUGAGUAUCUAUCAUUGCAUGUAUAAUUGAGAACAUUUAUCUAACUCUUUCAUACAGGGGUAAGUGUCACAUAAAAGAUAUAUGAAAUAAUGAAUAGUGACAAAGAUAAUUAAUCUGAUCAUAACUUAGCCACAUAUAAAUAUGAUAAGCACCUCAAUUAGAUACUCUAUAAAGUCAUUAGCAUGGAAUUAGAACGAACUACAAGAAUAUUUCCUAAGUUAUUCUCAACUAUAUAGUCUAGCAUCAUCAUAGUUAGUGCAAGCAUACUUAGCAAUCAUUGUGAGACAAGAUUACGCCCAUGCAUAGUGAUAUUAGCAAGGUAACUGAGAAACAUAGCAAUCACUCUCCUGUAAUAAUAUUGCUGUGCCAGCCCAAUACACGAGCGGGGGACUAUAUAAGAAUCAAUGAAGCUGUCACUAUCACGAACUACCCCACGAUCUGGCAUAUUAGGUACAAUCGCAGAUAAAUACGGUAUAAGCACCACGCCUACACAAUAUCUAUCAUUUACCCAUGGAUCCGAUGGAUAAACGCUAUACGAUCCUAAGCAUGUAUAUAGAUCCAAUCUAACUAAGCCAAGUACAUAACUAUAACAAACUAAGAACAAUAUAAUCUUGAAUAUAAACAAGUAGAGCAAAGUCAUAAGCAAUAUAUUGAAGUAGAACAAAGUCAUAUCCAUAAUAUUGAAGAACAAAGAUAAUUAGAAAGCAAUUAGAAGCACAAGUAGAGAAUUACCAAGAAUCCUCUUGACAGGUCCGGAAACCAAUCGAAGAUUGACUCCUUCUAGUUCUAAUCCUAUGUAGCUAUGCUAAUCUAGAUAUCUAAUUGAUGUGGUGGCUCUAAUCUUGAUCAGAGGCUUCUUCUCCCUUGAAGAACAAUGAAUUAGGGUUGAGAGGCUCUCUCCUCUAGGAGCCAGGGGGUCUGGUUUUAUAGUCCCUUCAAGUGAAUAUGGGCCGUUGGAUCAAACCAACAUUGAUUGAACGGUUAUCCUUGAUCCUUUAGGUCAGUGGAGAUCUCCAGAGAAACAGAGUCCUGAUUGGACUCCAGGUCAGGGCGGGCGCCCAGGGCAGGAGGGCGGGCGCCCUGCCUCUGGCCCCGUUCGGCCUCCGCUUUCUUCCCGUGGCUUCUGGAGUCUUCUAGAUGUAAGAUAAUUGCGCGGCACGUUAAUAUCUCUAUGUAAUCCCGACGUGUGGGCCUUUCUUCCGUAUUUCCUGAUAAACCCCUGCAGAAAUAGACAAACACCAAAACUCAUGGAAUUCUGUUAGAUAAAACCCUAAGUCUAGAUGUUGAUUUCAUUCGGAUCCUUUUCUUUGUUUAUUUGAUAAUUAAAUUUGAUACUUAAGGACCAUCAACAAACUCCCCCAAGCUGACCUCUUGCUCGUCCCUGAGCAAGGAUAGACUCAGCUAUGGAUCAUAAGUUGUUGCAAUAUCUUUAAAAAUUGAUGGUACACAUGCUUUUUAAAUAAGAUCUCAUCUCUGAGUUAGAGUAAACUGUCAAGACUUAAAACUUACUUACUUUACCUUUUACCAUGGGACUUGUAACCGUCACUUCUGUCUUGAGUAGUUAAAAGAUAGAACAGUCUAGUCAAGUGCCAUAUCUCUUAUUCUUGAUCAGCUAUAGCUCUAGAGUUUUUUGCAGAUUUUCAAAUAAAACUCAGAGAUUCCUUGUAUGAUUCUCUCAAAUCUCUCUUUUGUGGUAAUUUUGGAUCCUUACCAAGGCAGUGAUGGUAUAUGCCUUCUCUCAAAAUAUGUGGUAUUUGUGGUAUAAAGCAUAGUGACAUUGACUUCUCUCUCACCCUACUCUAAUAAGGCUUUAAUAUUUGGAGCUCAUAGGUGGGAGAUAAAGUAUACAUACUCACAAGACAUUUAUUGUAUAGUCAAACCAUGGAUCCAAAGAAACAAAUCAAUAAGUCAAAUCAAGAUUUGCAUGUGUGGCGAAUGAAUGGUAUAUGGUGAUGACGGUGAUAACAAUGGUGAAAGUCUAAUUCUACUUUUGCUCUUCUGAGGGGAUACAUACCUUCCUUGCUUUCUGAAACUUUUGAAGAGAAUGAGAUGCUCUUAUUUUUCUUUUCACUCAGGUGGGUAUUUUGUACCCCUAAUUCUACUGUCGGACACUUGUCCAUUUUCACCUCUCGUCUCACUUUUUCUUUUCUUUCGAGGUUCCGGGCACUUGCCCCUUUUUAUUUCCUCGUAUCUUUUUUUUUCUCUCUCUUUUUUUCAGAGCACUCAUCUCUUGAGAUAAUAUAGCAAGUGGUAGUAACAAGAUAACUUGAGCAUUUAUUUCACAGGGAAAAACAGAAAUAUUUUUGGCUAUUCUCUCCCGGAUUAGGAGUAGAAUAUGUUUAGGUGGUUCUGGAGAUGAAAAUGGGUGGAUAUAUGUGGAUGGUACUUCUAGAGUAGAAGUAGCAUAUAUGAGUGAACGUGCAAGUGAAAUCUUGAUUUUAACUACAUGACAAGCUCCUAAGGGUCUACACAGCUUGACCACACUCAAUGCUCAUAAGCAGUAAAUAGUAAAUGUGUGGCUCAAAGUCUAGCAAGCAUGUAUAUAUGGCUAUGGUAGAAAUUUAAACUCUCAUCAUACAGGAACUCAUCAUGCAAUAUUUUAAAGAUUUUUAAAGCUAAAAUUCUCCAGAAUUCUAGCAUCUCUAGGAACAGAUAAACAGCAGCUCAACCUUCCCAUAUCAUAUCCGUUAACAACUUAGACUUCAGAUCAAGUUUUCAUCCCACAAGUUUAGGUCUAGAGCAAGCUUUAAAUUAUAACAGUUAUGUCUAAACUUGAGAGAGAACUUAAAAUGUGCAAAUUAGGCAGAGCAACUAUUCAUGAUAUCCAUGCUAGAGUUUUAUUAUUAAGAUACAGAUUAGCAUAGCCACUCUAUUUAUUUAUUAAACAUACUAGGCAAAAGAUAUAAGCACAAAAUCUUUAUUUGGUUUUUCCUGGUUUAUGUAUAUUUAUAUUCUAAAAUAGUAUAAGUUUAAAGAUAGAUAGAUAGAAAUACUUAUCGGGAUAAAUAGGGGUGCUCCCCUCCAAGCUGAAUUUUGACGUAAUUUCUCUUGAUGUAGCUAGCAGGUGAGGUGUAUUUGAAAGUCAGCAGCAUUCUGACAGCGAUUAGAAUGUCCUCCGUCUACUAGUCUUCUUGAUUCUUAAAUUCUGUGGAGCUCAAACAGACAACAAAGCUUGUGGAAUUGAUUAAGUGCUAGCAUAAAUAUCUAGCCUUUAUCAUGUUGAGACUCCUUAAUAUUUGUUACUCCCUGUUUUUAUAUUUUUAUUUUAUAAAGCAGAAAAGAAAUAUUUAUUUUAUUUUUAUGCCACCACAGUGAAUGUUCUUAUGGGUUUGAUGCCACUCGUAUACUCACAUGGGGCUUACAGUUUUUCACAUUUUUAUUUUAUUUUUAAGAUAGUAUGAAUAUGAUUAACUAAGUAAAAUAAUUGAAAGGGAAAGGAUAACUACCAAGUUUACCUCUUGGCAAGGCAUUCGGUGUUUUUAUGUCCUCCGAACAGGACUCUCCAUUUUCUCAAUUGUCCUGGGAUUCGUUGGGUGGCGCAGUCGGUACUUCCGGUAGCGCCUCUUCUUCAUGUAUAGUUAUCUUCUCUUUCCAUACCUGACUCGGUGCUUCGGUCUCCUCUGGAUAAUUCUGUUUAAACUCUACGUCUUCUGACCUUAAAACUUCUCCUUCAUAGUCUGCCCAUCCGUCCUUGAUGAUUUGCCUCCUCUGGUUGCGUCAUUUUCUUACCUGCUUAGAUUCUUCAAAGAUGCAGUUAGGGUCAGUAAAAUAACGGCGUACCUUCUCUGAGGGGAAGUGCAUAUGGACUUCUCCAGUUCCAAUGUAGAUAAUUGCUUUAACAGUGCUGAGGAACGGUCUUCCAAGGAUGAUGGGUGGAUCGUAUUCAUCUUCUCCCAUGUCAAUAACCUGAAAGUCUGUGUAGACAAAAUGAUCGUCUAUUUUGACUGGGACAUCAGUUACUGUUCCUUUAACUUCUCGACAUGUCUGAUCUGCCAUCUGGAGCUGAAUGUAUGUUAGUCUUAGUGGCAUGGUUCCGAACAAGAGCCGAUAGGUGACUGAGGCCAUUAUGUUGACGCCCGAUCUGGUGUCGCAAAACGUCUUGUAGAAGCUGUAUCCAUUUAUGGAGCAGUAGAUGCUUGGCAUUCCUAGGUCGUCCUUCUUGGUCAAAAACGGUGACUUAAGUUGAUGAUCUUGACCUCCAUGAACUGCAGUGACCAUCUUAGCUGAUUCGGUCCACACUUGCUUGUUCUUGUUCCUCCUGUUGGUCCUCUUCCUUGAUUCAUGUCUCGAUUGAUCUGGGAUUUGUGUAGCCUUGUUCUUGAAGAAAAAUGUCUCCUUCCUCCCUUUGAUGUAGAAACUGAUCUUGGCAGCACUAGCAUAGAUGACAGCUCCCGAGGUGUUUAAGAAUGGCCUCCCUAAGAUGAUGGGUGCUCUCUCAUCACUACCGGUCUCUAUCACCACGAAGUCUGCUGGGGCGUACAAGGUACCAACUUGGACACAAAGGUUCUUCAAUAUUCCUUUUGGAAAACUUAUCGUCUGAUCUGCAAACUGCAAACACAUGGUUGUCUCUAAUAAAGGAUAUGUAAAGAAUUUUUCAUAGAGUACCCUGGGUAUAAUGUUGACACUGGAGCCAAAGUCGCAGAGUGCUUCUGGGAAGUCCACCAUGCCGAUGGAGAUCGGGAUGACGGGGCGUCCUGGAUCGCCUCUCUUGACCGGCAGAAGGUCAGUAGUAAAUUCAGUGACGGGGUUACUCCAAUUACCUGCAUCAAACAUGUCUACAAGAUUUGCAGAUUCUAAUCCUUCCGGUUGUGAUGGUAUACCGGGGUUAGUAGCAGGAACAGCAGCAGCUAUUCGAUCUAACUGAGAUUCAAUCAUUUUAUUAAAGCUAAUUUGAUUCUUGAUGGCAGUAGAGAAAGUAUCCAUUCUAUUAUUUAUAUUUUCUAGCAUUUUAUCAUUUGAUUACAAUUUCUUAGAUAGAUUAUCCAUUAGCUUUCCUUGAUUAGACACUAACUCUCUCAAAGGUGGAAAAUUAUUAUUAUUGUUGUAAGAACUGUUACCUUGAUAAUUACCUGAGUAGUUAGGCCUCUGUUGAUUCCAACCUUGAUUUUGUUGAGGACGGUUGUAGUAGUUGUUGUUGUUAUUGUUGAUGGAGUUCACAUCCUCAAGUAUCUCAGGGCAGUGAUUGCCUGAGUGUCCAGUAUCUCCACACUCCUCACAAGUCAUGUGAGAGUCGUAGAUGUGCAUAACUUCUUUCUUGUCUCCAGCUCUAUCAUCGAGCUUCUUCAUGAGCAGGUCUAGCUUUGCAGAUAGCAUGUCUACCUCCUUGAGCUGAUGCAUACCUCCACCUCUCUUGCGUGUCUUGGUCCUCUCUUCAUUCCAGCCUUGGUUGGACACCAUCUUCUCCACAAGAGCUGUGGCUUGUGAUAUGGUAAGUGAUAAGAAUGCUCCUCCAGCUGCAGCAUCCAUGGUUUCUCGGGCACUGUUGCCGAGCCCAUGAUAAAACGUCUCUAUUAGUAGCCAACCCUCCAUUCCAUGAUGGGGACAUUCUAAGAUGUAGUCUUGCAAGCGCUCCCAUGCUUCUGGAACAGAUUCAUCAUGUUGUUGCUGAAAACUUGUAAUCUUCCCACGGAGAGCAUUGGUCUUGCCCAUGGGAAAGAACUUAGCCAGGAAGUUUGUUGAGCAGAGUGCCCACGUAGUAUUCUUCUCCUUUGUAGCGUAAAACCACUGCUUCGCUCUUCCUAACAGUGAGAAUGGGAAGAGGCGAAGUAGUAUAGCAUCUCUGGGGACUCCUGAUAUGGUGAAUGUGCUGCAAAUCUCCAGGAAGUGUUGGAGAUGAGCAGUAGCAUCUUCGUGUGCCUUCCCACAGAACUGGUUGGAUUGCACCAUGUUGAUAAGUCCAGGCUUGAGCUCAAAGUUGCCGUCGAUCUCUGCAGCAGGUCCUGUGCUGAUGUUGUCCGUAGUGGGAGCUGAGAACUCGCGGAUCGAUUUGUUCGCCAUGGCUUCGAACUCUGAAGACAAGUUUCGAUGAUCUUCUUGAUUGGAUGAAGCUUCUUGCUGAAGUGUUGAUGAUCUCUUCUUGAGCUUUGCUUUUGUCUUCUUGAAUAAUGCUUUGGGAUUGUCAACAAAACUUCCUGGAAGAUGUCUUCUAUUCAUACAUUCCCCUGCAUAAGAUAAAAUGGAAAAAUAUCGGGGUAAAACUGUAUGAGAGAAUAGAUAAGCUCAAUCAUAUUAGUGAUGCGAAUGAUAACUCAAAAUCCUUUAUUCCAUUCCUGAUUAGUAAUCAACCUUCCCCGGCAACGGCGCCAAAAAUGCUUGUUGGGUAUUCUUAACAUCAUUACCAAAAGUAGACUAAGUUCUCUAAAUCUAGUAACGGUGCCAAAAAUGCCAAACCUAUCCCUCACACCACUUAAGCCAAGUUGUCAUCCCCAGCAUGACAUGAGAGACGCGGUAUUGAAAUAUGCAAUUGCUCUUCUAAAUAAAUAAUGAAUGGGAUCUGCAAGCGCACAGAUUAAUACCGAUGUAGCAUUUUAACCGGGAAGUAUUCCAGGUAUCGUUAUUUAUAUUUUUACCACUGGGAAGGGAUUAGUAACCAGCAAUAUUGAUUACAUAAUAGAAUAUGAGAUUGAGUAUCUAUCAUUGCAUGUAUAAUUGAGAACAUUUAUCUAACUCUUUCAUACAGGGGUAAGUGUCACAUAAAAGAUAUAUGAAAUAAUGAAUAGUGACAAAGAUAAUUAAUCUGAUCAUAACUUAGCCACAUAUAAAUAUGAUAAGCACCUCAAUUAGAUACUCUAGAAAGUCAUUAGCAUGGAAUUAGAACGAACUACAAGAAUAUUUCCUAAGUUAUUCUCAACUAUAUAGUCUAGCAUUAUCAUAGUUAGUGCAAGCAUACUUAGCAAUCAUUGUGAGACAAGAUUACGCCCAUGCAUAGUGAUAUUAGCAAGGUAACUGAGAAACAUAGCAAUCACUCUCCUGUAAUAAUAUUGCUGUGCCAGCCCAAUACACGAGAGGGGGACUAUAUAAGAAUCAAUGAAGCUGUCACUAUCACGAACUACCCCACGAUCUGGCAUAUUAGGUAAAAUCGCAGAUAAAUACGGUAUAAGCACCACGCCUACACAAUAUCUAUCAUUUACCCAUGGAUCCGAUGGAUAAACGCUAUACGAUCCUAAGCAUGUAUAUAGAUCCAAUCUAACUAAGCCAAGUACAUAACUAUGACAAACUAAGAACAAUAUAAUCUUGAAUAUAAACAAGUAGAGCAAAGUCAUAAGCAAUAUAUUGAAGUAGAACAAAGUCAUAUUCAUAAUAUUGAAGAACAAAGAUAAUUAGAAAGCAAUUAGAAGCACAAUUAGAGAAUUACCAAGAAUCCUCUUGACAGGUCCGGAAACCAAUCGAAGAUUGACUCCUUCUAGUUCUAAUCCUAUGUAGCUAUACUAACCUAGAUAUCUAAUUGAUGUGGUGGCUCUAAUCUUGAUCAGAGGCUUCUUCUCCCUUGAAGAACAAUGAAUUAGGGUUGAGAGGCUCUCUCCUCUAGGAGCCAGGGGGUCUGGUUUUAUAGUCCCUUCAAGUGAAUAUGGGCCGUUGGAUCAAACCGACAUUGAUUGAACGGUUAUCCUUGAUCCUUUAGGUCAGUGGAGAUCUCCCGAGAAACAGAGUCCUGAUUGGACUCCAGGUCAGGGCGGGCGCCCAGGGCAGGAGGGCGGGCGCCCUGCCUCUGGCCCCGUUCGGCCUCCGCUUUCUUCCCGUGGCUUCUGGAGUCUUCUAGAUGUAAGAUAAUUGCGCGGCACGUUAAUAUCUCUAUGUAAUCCCGACGUGUGGGCCUUUCUUCCGUAUUUCAUAAUAAACCCCUGCAAAAAUAGACAAACACCAAAACUCAUGGAAUUCUGUCAGAUAAAACCCUAAGUCUAGAUGUUGAUUUCAUUUGGAUCCUUUUCUUUGUUUAUUUGAUAAUUAAAUUUGAUACUUAAGGACCAUCAACAAACUCCCCCAAGCUUACCUCUUGCUCGUCCCUGAGCAAGGAUAGACUCAGCUAUGGAUCAUAAGUAGUUGCAAUAUCUUUAAAAAUUGACGGUACACAUGCUUUUUAAAUAAGAUCUCAUCUCUGAGUUAGAGUAAACUGUCAAGACUUAAAACUUACUUACUUUACCUUUUACCAUGGGACUUGUAACCGUCACUUCUGUCUUUAGUAGUUAAAAGAUAGAACAGUCUAGUCAAGUGCCAUGUCUCUUAUUCUUGAUCAGCUAUAGUUCUAGAGUUUUUUGCAGAUUUUCAAAUAAAACUCAGAGAUUCCUUGUAUGAUUCUCUCAAAUCUCUCUUUUGUGGUAUUUCUGGAUCCUUACCAAGGCAGUGAUAUGGUAUAUGCCUUCUCUCAAAAUAUGUGGUAUUUGUGGUAUAAAGCAUAGUGACAUUGACUUCUCUCUCACCUACUCUAAUAAGGCUUUAAUAUCUGGAGCUCAUAGGUGGGAGAUAAAGUAUACAUACUCACAAGACAUUUAUUGUAUAGUCAAACCAUGGAUCCAAAGAAACAAAUCAAUAAGUCAAAUCAAGAUGUGCAUGUGUGGCGAAUGAAUGGUAUAUGGUGAUGACGGUGAUAACAAUGGUGAAAGUCUAAUUCUACUUUUGCUCUUCUGAGGGGAUACAUACCUUCCUUGCUUUCUGAAACUUUUGAAGAGAAUGAGAUGCUCUUAUUUUUCUUUUCACUCAGGUGGGUAUUUUGUACCCCUAAUUCUACUGUCGGACACUUGUCCAUUUUUACCUCUCGUCUCACUUUUUCUUUUCUUUCGAGGUUCCGGGCACUUGCCCCUUUUUAUUUCCUCGUAUCUUUUUUUUUCUCUCUCUCUUUUUUCAGAGCACUCAUCUCUUGAGAUAAUAUAGCAAGUGGUAGUAACAAGAUAACUUGAGCAUUUAUUUCACAGGGAAAAACAGAAAUAUUUUUGGCUAUUCUCUCCCGGAUUAGGAGUAGAAUAUGUUUAGGUGGUUCUGGAGAUGAAAAUGGGUGGAUAUAUGUGGAUGGUACUUCUGGAGUAGAAGUAGCAUAUAUGAGUGAACGUGCAAGUGAAAUCUUGAUUUUAACUACAUGACAAGCUCCUAAGGGUCUACACAGCUUGACCACACUCAAUGCUCAUAAGCAGUAAAUAGUAAAUGUGUGGCUCAAAGUCUAGCAAGCAUGUAUAUAUGGCUGUGGUAGAAAUUUAAACUCUCAUCAUACAGGAACUCAUCAUGCAAUAUUUUAAAGAUUUUUAAAGAUAAAAUUCUCCAGAAUUCUAGCAUCUCUAGGAACAGAUAAACAGCAGCUCAACCUUCCCAUAUCAUAUCCGUUAACAACUUAGACUUCAGAUCAAGUUUUCAUCCCACAAGUUUAGGUCUAGAGCAAGCUUUAAAUUAUAACAGUUAUGUCUAAACUUGAGAGAGAACUUAAAAUGUGCAAAUUAGGCAGAGCAACUAUUCAUGAUAUCCAUGCUAGAGUUUUAUUAUUAAGAUACAGAUUAGAUAGCCACUCUAUUUAUUUAUUAAACACACUAGGCAAAAGAUAUAAGCACAAAAUCUUUAUUUGGUUUUUCCUGGUUUAUGUAUAUUUAUAUUCUAAAAUAGUAUAAGUUUAAAGAUAGAUAGAUAGAAAUACUUAUCGGGAUAAAUAGGGGUGCUCUCCCCCAAGCUAAAUUUUGACGUAAUUUCUCUUGAUGUAGCUAGCAGGUGAGGUGUAUUUGAAAGUCAGCAGCAUUCUGACAGCGAUUAGAAUGUCCUCCGUCUACUAGUCUUCUUGAUUCUUAAAUUCUGUGGAGCUCAAAUAGACAACAAAGCUUGUGGAAUUGAUUAAGUGUUAGCAUAAAUAUCUAGCCUUUAUCAUGUUGAGACUCCUUAAUAUUUGUUACUCCCUGUUUUUAUAUUUUUAUUUUAUAAAGCAGAAAAGAAAUAUUUAUUUUAUUUUUAUGCCACCACACUGAAUGUACUUAUGGGUUUGAUGCCACUCGUAUACUCACAUGGGGCUUACAGUUUUUCACAUUUUUAUUUUAUUUUUAAGAUAGUAUGAAUAUGAUUAACUAAGUAAAAUAAUUGAAAGGGAAAGGAUAACUACCAAGUUUACCUCUUGACAAGGCGUUCGGUGUUUUUAUAUCCUCCGAACAGGACUCUCCAUUUUCUCAAUUGUCCUGGGAUUCGUUGGGUGGCGGAGUCGGUACUUCCGGCAGUGCCUCUUCUUCAUGUAUAGUUAUCUUCUCUUUCCAUACCUGACUCGGUGCUUCGGUCUCCAGUGGAUAAUUCUGUUUAAACUCUACGUCUUCUGACCUUACAACUUUUCCUUCAUAGUCUGCCCAUCCGUCCUUGAUGAUUUGCCUCCUCUGGUUGCGUCAUUUUGUUACCUGCUUAGAUUCUUCAAAGAUGUAGUUAGGGUCAGUAAAAUAACGGCGUACCUUCUCUGAGGGGAAGUGCAUAUGGACUUCUCCAGUUCCAAUGUAGAUAAUUGCUUUAACAGUGCUGAGGAACGGUCUUCCAAGGAUGAUGGGUGGAUCGUAUUCAUCUUCUCCCAUG
rnacentral:lncRNA from 1 species